GUCUACGGCCAUACCACCCUGAACGCGCCCGAUCUCGUCUGAUCUCGGAAGCUAAGCAGGGUCGGGCCUGGUUAGUACUUGGAUGGGAGAUAAGGUGUGAAACUAUAAUAAAAGGGUAACUUUCAAUU
rnacentral:rRNA from 1 species